AUUUAUUCAAAUGAAAAUUAAAAUAUAUUGGAUCAUAGAAAUUAUAAAACCUUGGUUAAAAUAAUUUCAAAUCAAUGUACAGGUGAUCCUAGUUAGUAACCUUGUAUAGAGCACCUUGUAGCUCAGCAUAAUUAUUAGAAUGUCACAAAAGUUCAGAUUUAGACUAUUUAGGGAUGAAGAAAAGGAAUUUAAAAAAAAAAUUGUUCCAAAAUUUGCUACUAAAGGAAAUUGGUACUGUUCAAUAGUAAAUACACUCAGAAAGCAAAGGAAAUGAAUAAACAACACCUGUAAAAUGCAUUUAACAAUGUUUAUUCAUUUCCACACAAUAUAGGAAAAACAAGAUCUAGAGAAAUGUUUAGGGAUACAGCAAACAAAUUAAACUGAAAACUGAAUGAAAUUUGCAUAACCAUCUAUCCAGCAAAACAUUUGUAGUUAUAAAAAGGAACCCAACUAUGAGAUAUCAUUCUUUUUCUAAUGAUGACACUCUUUUUGCCAAAGUGUGCAUUGCUUGUGAAGUUUUUACAAAACAAACAAAAUACAGCAGCUACACUUCAUGAAUAUUGUUGUUACAAAAAUUUAAGGCAUGGACCAAUGAUCCAGAGUUCUGUCAGGAAACUUAUAGCUCGAUUUGAGGAAACUGAAAGUUUGGCUGUUGCAACCCAGUUGAGGACUGAAACAUGUCAGUCCAGCAUUCGAUGAAAAUGUUGCCACAAAUUUGGUUGAACAAUCUAUGAAUCAUCCUGCUUGUUCCAAUAGUGCACC
rnacentral:lncRNA from 1 species